rnacentral:rRNA from 1 species
GACGAACGCUGGCGGCGUGCUUAACACAUGCAAGUCGAACGAUGAACUUGGAGCUUGCUCUGGGGGAUUAGUGGCGAACGGGUGAGUAACACGUGAGUAACCUGCCCUGGACUCUGGAUAACUUCGAGAAAUCGGAGCUAAUACCGGAUAGGACCUUGCACCGCAUGGUGUGGGGUGGAAAGUUUUUCGGUUUGGGAUGGACUCGCGGCCUAUCAGCUUGUUGGUGAGGUAAUGGCUCACCAAGGCGUCGACGGGUAGCCGGCCUGAGGGGGUGACCGGCCACACUUGGACUGGGACACGGCCCAGACUCCUACGGGAGGCAGCAGUGGGGAAUAUUGGUCAAUGGACGCAAGUCUGAACCAGCCAUGCCGCGUGAAGGAUGAAGGUCCUCUGGAUUGUAAACUUCUUUUACAGGGGAAGAAACCCGGAAAUUCUUUUUCGGUUGACGGUACCCUGGGAAUAAGCACCGGCUAACUCCGUGCCAGCAGCCGCAGUAAUAC